AUGAAGGCAUCUAUUCAAACUUUAUUCACAUUCUUGUGGCUGCAGCUGGACUGGCUGAGCCAAGGAGAGAAAGUGGAGCAGCAUCCUUCUACCCUGAGUGCCCAGGAGGGAGACAGAGCUGUUAUCAACUGUACUUAUUCAGACAGUGUCUCAAACUACUUCCCUUGGUAUAAGCAAGAACCUGGAAAAAGUCUUCAGCUUAUUAUAGACAUUCGUUCAAAUAUGGACAAAAAGCAAGACCAAAGACUCACUGUCCUAUUAGACAAGACGGCCAAACAUCUCUCCCUGCACAUUGCAGCCAUCCAGCCUGGAGACUCAGCUGUCUACUUUUGUGCAGCGAGCACACAUUGCUUCCCAGGCACCUGCAGCCUGUACCCAAACCUGCGACCGGGGCUGAAGCCUCACCCAGUUUCCUUUGCCACAGACCUUCAAGUAUAG